rnacentral:rRNA from 1 species
AUUGAAGAGUUUGAUCAUGGCUCAGAUUGAACGCUGGCGGCAGGCCUAACACAUGCAAGUCGAACGGUAACAGGAAGCAGCUUGCUGCUUCGCUGACGAGUGGCGGACGGGUGAGUAAUGUCUGGGAAGCUGCCUGAUGGAGGGGGAUAACUACUGGAAACGGUAGCUAAUACCGCAUAAUGUCGCAAGACCAAAGAGGGGGACCUUCGGGCCUCUUGCCAUCGGAUGUGCCCAGAUGGGAUUAGCUUGUUGGUGGGGUAACGGCUCACCAAGGCGACGAUCCCUAGCUGGUCUGAGAGGAUGACCAGCCACACUGGAACUGAGACACGGUCCAGACUCCUACGGGAG